UACGGGGGGGGGCAAGCGUUUGUUCGGAAUUACUGGGCGUAAAGGGUUCGUAGGUGGCCAACUAAGUCAGACGUGAAAUCCCCUCAGCUUAACUGGGGAACUGCGUCUGAUACUGAUUGGCUUGAGUGCAGGAGAGGAACGCGGAAUUCCAGGUGUAGCGGUGAAAUGCGUAGAUAUCUGGAGGAACACCGGUGGCGAAGGCGGCGUUCUGGACUGCAACUGACACUGAGGAACGAAAGCCAGGGGAGCAAACGGG
rnacentral:rRNA from 1 species